rnacentral:lncRNA from 1 species
AGACUUGGGCAUGGCCUUCCCACAGCAUCCGAGCAGCAUGGCGAAGCAGGUCUUCUAUGUUCAAAGAGCUACCCGCACAAAAAGGAGACAGUAUACUCUGCAGAAGAGAAUCCCCACGUAGCAGGACUUACCGAUGGCCAGAGGUACUUGUGGAAAACAUGGUUUCUUUGGCGAACUUCCUGAAGAAGCCUCAGACCGACGUGCUCAGAGAGUGGAAGUACAUGAUGCAUGCUGUAGAAGCUUUGCUAUUCUGCUUCCACUAAGGUGCUGAAAUAGGCGUGCAGCUCUUGAAAGUUGAGAUAGGGAUGGAAACCGAGGCAUCAUAUUCACAAUGUUGUCAGCCUUCCAGAAUGUUCCCAGUGAUCUCCACUUCCUGGUGGUCAUUCAUUCCUUUAGGCAAUCUCCCCAAGUACACACUGGCCCUGCUGACUUGAGUAUAACCUGGAACAUGGCGAGGGAUGGGAUGUCAUUGCUGAGAUUGGAUUACCAAGGGCUGUGACCUCUGUCUUGUUGGCAAACUCUUUGGGCUCCCUGGUUUUUCACAUAUGAAUGAUUAAUGAAGUACGUGGUUAUAUUGUGAGCUGCCAUUUUGGAAAUGCCUAUGUGUCAAGACACUGAGGGAAGCCCUUGGCCAACAGCCAGAAAGGAGCCGAGGUUCUCAUUCCAAUACCUCAUGAGGAAACAAAUGGUGCCACAGACCAGUGUGUGAGCUUGGAAAUGGGUCAUUCCCCAGUAGCAUCUUCAGGGGAGAUGGGGACCCCAAGUUAGCAUGCCUGCCUGGUGAGGAACUGUGAGCAGAGGAUCAAACUAAGCUAUGCCCAGAUUCCCGACCCACAGAAACUAUAGGAUGAUGAAUGUGUGCCGUUGUAAGCUGCUUAAUUCUGGGGUGAUUUGUUACGUAACAGUGGAUAGCUUGUAUGAUUUUGAGAUCUUGAAGGUCAGUUGGAUUGUUCUAUUGUCCUAUUUCUCAUCCAAGAUUUAAGGACAGAUUCUACCCAAGUGAUUAUGUGAUGUGUCAAGUGUGUGCAAAAAUCUUAGGGAAAAAAACGAGAGGGCAGGACUUUCUCAUUUUUGACAGUGUUGCACCAGGUGAAUCAACCCUUCUGCGAAGACAGUUACGAGUGUUGGUUAGAGGACUAAAAGGGUCUUCACAAAAACCCAAAGAACGUUUACACGUUAAGGGAGCCUUUAAGAUCACGACAGAGACACUCCUCUGGGGAGGAAUUUCCCAGCUGAGAUUUAGAAAGUGAGAACUUGGAGAAGCACACAGGGCACUGGAAGCUGCUCAGACCCGGGAGCAUUUGCUUAUUCUGACGACAGAAAACAAACUGCAGAGUCUUCAGCAGUCUCCUGGAAGGUACCAAGCUGGCAACAUGGCAGCAACAUGGAGCCUCCUGAAGAAGGUUCUUCAGUGGCAGAAGGAAAAGGAUCCCAGACAGAUGGGCUCAGGCACAAGCACCAAGGAAGUGCUAGCACAGGAGUCUGGACCUCUGCAGAAAUCAAGGGCACUCCAAGGACUUAAGGGAACAUAGAUCAAAGAAGGGACUAGAAACCACGUGCAGGUGGCAUGAAGGGGCUCGACGGGACAGGCAGUGGUG